UUUUUUCCUUUCUUAACCUUGCUGUAUAAAUAUUUGUACCCAGGAUCAUGGAAGAGGGCCGGAGGGUACUUUGGCAAGGCAGCUCAGGUAAGGAGUGAGAAAGUGAGGCUCAGAGGACUUCUGUAUUGGCACAGGGAAGGUAUCCCCUCACUGUAGGCAAAUACUGGAUGCGAGUUCAGGGCCAGAACCUGAAAAAUUAGGGUACAAGGUUUUGCUUUGCAAGCUGUGUUCCUAAGCACAUCACCUGGCUUCCAGUCUCAGUGUUUCUAUUCAUGCAUCGAAGUCAGUGUCCCACUGAGUAUUUUUGUAAUUAAUGAAAUUGAUCAAAUGUAGAAAUUAGAAAUAUUAUGGUCAAAGAUCUAAGUAAGAAUUGGAAUGAAGGCUCUCUUCUCCUCCUCUUCUCUCUUCCUAGCUUUCUCCCCGCUUUUCUCUCUUCCUCUCCUCUCUCUGUUCCCAGGCUGCCACGCAGUGAGCAGCUCUUCCCUCUGCCAGGAUAGCCUCACUGCCGGUGCACAGCAGUGGAGUGAACAGUCCAUGGACUGAAACAUCUAAACCAUGGGUCAGACCAAUAGUGUCUUCUGUUGUUUCUGUCGGUAUUUGUAAUGGCGGUAAACGUCCAGCACAGAAAACUGGCACCAGAGAAGUGGGGUCAUUAACGUAACAACUGGGAAUGUUUGUGGGAAGGAUCUCAGUGAGUCUUGGUAAGCAGACUAGAAGAAGCCCAGAAGUUGGCAGGAAGUUCCUGUUGGGGUCCCGUGGGAGUGCAGAAGGCCAGAAUGGCAACUGAAAGAAGACAGCGGAGUGUGUCAAUGAAAUUUCAGAUGGGAAUUGAACUCAGGUCCUCUGCAGGUGCUCUUGACCUCUGAUCCGUCUCUCUAGCCCUGUAGCUAGAGUUCUCACUGGAGCACACCCUUCACUCUGUCCAGGCUCCUUUGCUCAGCAGGCUUUGAGUCUCCCUGGUUGUUCUGAAGCUGGACAGUGGAAACUUAUUUCCUCCUAAUCUCCACUAUGACACUCGCUUAGGUCAUUGCAAAUCAUUUACACUUUGGUUCCUUCAUCUCUAAAUUGGAAUAACACAUCCCAGUGUCAUGUCUGGAGGUUUUGGGGGAGAAGACAAGAACACUUGUCACCUGGACAUGACUGUUGUUUGGGCUCCAAAUGGAAACCACUGGAUGAAGGCUCGCGCACGUGUGUGUGUGUGUGUGUGUGUGUGUGUGUGUGUGCUGUAGAGAAGGUCAGGAUAGGGUUCUUUAAAUGUGUUCAUUCUCCUAGUGGUAGGACCUGUGCAUGUUUCUCAUGUGAUUUCCACAUCAGCUGACAGAGGGUGAGAGAAGUCAGAGUGUAUGUACCAUUUGCCAUGGACCUCCACACACAGAGCAUAGGCGGUGGUGAUAGCCAUUUUAAUUGAGUUACUCUUUCACCAGGGUUAUUAUAAGGCUUUGUGCAUAAUUUCUUGUGUCUUUGUUGGCUUGGGAGUCUCUACACCUCAGUGCCAUUGUCCUAAAAUGGAAAUGUUAAUAGUAUGACCCCACCCACACUCCUCUGUCCAGAGAGCUAACAGGGAAAGUUUUGUGGAAAGCCACACCCAGAAGGAACCAGUUAUUCUAGUUGGAUCUUGUGUGAGUCCAACCAAGUCUCAUAGGGCUGGGCCUAGUAACACUGGGCAAAUGUUCAAGCCUUUGUAGAACAAGUAUGUAGAGUCUUGCUCCCUCGCAGAUCAGGAAAACCACAGUCAGCAAUACCAACUAAAGGUUGGGCAUCCACCUUGGUGACAUGAGUGUCCAGGACUUUUCUCACUCAUGAUCCAUUUUUGCUAGAGGUAGUUUUACAUGACUCUAUAGAAGGGCUAUGCAAAUCACAAAAGAAAUGUCAUUUUAAAACAAGUCUUUUGUAAAUGUAUAAUGUGACUGAAUAAGGAUGUAAGCAAAUUUGCAUACUAAGGAAACAUGCUUGUUUGUUUUUGUAUAAGUAAAUAUUGGUUGACUAUUUAGUACUGAAGCACAUAGAAUCUUCAAGGUUUUCAGAGUUUACUGAUAAUUUGAUUAUUUAAUUGUUAAUACUGACAAUACCACUUUGUGUAAACACAUAGCACUGAAUAGAAGAAGUUUGCUUAGGGACAGUUCGUAAGAUUUUUGAACAGACUAUCCUAAUCCUAAGACAAAAUCCAUUUAGCAAUGUUUUAUGAAAUCCAGAUCAACCACUCAAAUAGUAAUUUAAAAAAAUCAAACCUUUGAACAUGGUGCAGUAGAAAGAUAUACCAGCUUGCCACAAUCUGAAGAAUGAUAGCAGGGAAAUACCGAGUCUUUGCUUUCUGUCAUCAAACCAUUCUGUUUCUAUAAGAGCAGAGAUCUUAGCAUGAACAGUACAAACAUUGCAGGUGGUACUAUAGCGUAGUCUGGAAUCUGAGCCAAGGUGUUUCAAUGACAUUUAUUGGUGUUGCUUGGUUUGAUGGCAUGCUCUGAGCAAAGCCUGCAUGUUGUGUGUUCAGAAUGAAGCCUGUAGCAAAACCACACAGUGUAAAGCAUCAGAUCCAUCACAUGCUUGAUGUUUCUGAAACCUUUCACUGUUGCCUGCUUUUUUUUAAGCCAUCUUUAGUCACCCAGUCCCAUAUGGAAUCACAGCCCACAGUUUAAGGUGCUGGUGCCUUGCCCUGGAGCAGGAGGUCUCCUUGGGUUUUGGUUCCUCCAUGGCUUCCUGACUUUGGGGGAAGGAUUUUUGGGAGAAAAAUGGUUUUGAUUGGAAAUAAGGUGGAACCCUUUACACAUCCUAUUCCCAUUUUCUGUCUCUGGCAUGGUGUUCUGCCAGCCUUCCGGAUACAUGAACUCACGUAUGAAGAGGAGCCUUGAAUCAUGGCUGUUUUCAAGAGAUAUACCAAGUUAGAAUGAAGACACAGCUCCUUGUAUUAAUGAGAACCUUCCAGAGACCUGUGAUUGGUCUGGGUCAUGUCUACUGGCAAAAGAAGUGAGAUCUGUAACUGAAAACAGUGGUCAUAGGUGACUCCUGUGAAAGGAUUCUUUGACCCCAAGGGGUCCUAACCCACAGGAGCUACAGUUCUGGAAACCAUGAAGGGCAUCAGUGUCGAAUUGCCUGCACAUUCUCCUGCAUUCACAGUCAGGACUAGUUGAAGGCCCUCGAAGGGAGAAAGUCUACACUUUCUUCAAAAUCUGGGCGGUGUGUGCUGUAAAUGGUAACUAUCCUAGAAGGGGGUGUCCCCCGCCAGAUUUAACAUGUUCUUAAAGCGGCAAGCCAAAUCUCAGAACAACCCUCGAUAUGUCUAGGACCUUCUAAGAAUGAAGAUCAGGUACUGUGGAGCCCUAUUCCAGGCUAGACUUAGCCUAGAGCGGCGGAGGUCAGGGGGUGGUGGGGAUGGUUACUGAGGGAACAUGAAUCUGAGGGAAGGACAGUUGUCACCAAUGUAAGAGAAGGUUAAGCUUCUCCAGGAAGCACAGGGCUUCAAAGCAAGGACACCACCAGGAUACAUAUGAGGACACCAGCUGAAGCAAUAGGGCAGAAAAUCCAAAUUUGGUAGCAGUGUGGAACGGUCUCAACAGGUAAGUUUUGCACUGGGGCUCACAGACCCAGUACUGAGGAAGCGGCUCCGGUAGCGUUCCAUCACACAGUGACGUUUGUACCCAGCAAGGUGUACAAGUGUAUUUUACUUGUGUGAAACAGGAAUAGGAAAAGAUGUGCUUGAAAAAAAAGUAGUAAAUGUCAAGUUGAUUCUUCUGUAAGGAAUAGCCGACAGCCAUGGUGGACUCUAAUGCACUCCCCGUCCCGUAGUCGCCCUCAGCAGGCUCGAAACUCCUUCACAGCAUUUGCCUUUAUAUUAUUAUGUCUUGUGUAUGCUGUUGUUCUUUGUGCGUGAUGAAGCUUUGCACGGUACAUUAACUUAAAGCAGUUAUCUUACCAGAAAGAAGAGUCUGGACUCCACUUUCCUCUUCGCAGAUGUUGGCCUUACCUGUUCCGAUGUUGUUAGCAGCACCCUUGAGCGCCACCUUCGGGUAGAUCCUGGAUACUGCUCUAGUAACUAAGGCCCUCAGGAUUGGAUGCAAGCUAAAAAACCACCAGCUAACUUCUCAACUGUCCCUUCCGAGUUUAUGGCACAGUGUAAGAAAAUAGAAGUAUUUCUGGAGACCAAUUUUCAUGACAAAUUUUCUUGCUUUGUGAUGGUCAAAUACUAAUUACUUUCCUCAUGCUUGAUUCAGAGACCUUAAGUGGAAAAUUACUGACCAGAAGACUAAAUUCAGUUGAAACAGUGGUUUGAGUCAUUAGUCACUGAGGUUACUGCAAAGAUGAGCAAAAUUACUAGAAACUUUUUAUCUAAGUCUAAGACCGUACAGAAUUCAACUAUUAUUUUUAAAAUCACCCGAACUUCUAACCUAGCCUAUCUCCCCAAUUCUUUUCUUUCUUUGUAAAUUGGCAAUUCCCUGUUGAUGAUGGGCUGCAUUUUUGGAGAAGACUUUGAGGACAUUAAAAAAAGAAACAACAAACAACGCAAUCUGUAACAGGCCUAACAAGCCGUCUAUGGGGUGCUGUGGGUAGAGCUCAAGGAUUGCACACAUGUCGGAGAGUGGUCUGCACCGAGUCAAGCCACCAGUGCCAAAGCCCUCUGGUUGGUCCCUUGGUGGUAAGAUCCAGUUCCCUUCCGGUGUAUGGCUCCUGUCUGCUGCCCAGAUUUAUCUGAGCUAGACUUCCAGCCAUUGCUGAUGACCAGGCUACUGGGGAUGUUUCCAGGUGGUAACGAAAGCCAGGUGAAGCUGGUCACUCUGGCCUCCUGUCACUCCUUUACAGAAGGUUCCAGACGAGGAUGGUCCUGGACUGGGGACUUCAGUUACGCAAUAACAUAGUAAGAACCAGGUCCUCUUUGGUGUGUUUGGUGUGUGUGUAUGUGUGUGUGUGUGUGUGCAUGUGUAGUUCAGAGUAUAAAGUUAAGUGUCUUUCACGGGUACCAUCUUGUUUCUUUGAGACAGGGUCUGUCAAUGGCCCAAAGUUUCCCAAUUAGGUUAGGCUGACUGGCCAGUGAGCCCCAGGGAUCCAUGUGCCACCAUGAGAAGCUUUUGAAACUCAGUUUCAGGGACUGAACUAGGGUUCUCACACUCACAAGGCAAGCGCUUUACCAACUGAGCCAUCUCCCUAGACCACUACAGCCUUUACUCUCUACCUACCUCAGUGUCUUAGAUUUUGCUCCCAAGAUGGGGGUCCGUGUUUCUGGGCAUCCCAUCAUCAAUUCCAUUUGUCUGCUCUUGAAGAAAUAUGUUCUGCCUUCACACAUGCUCCAGAACAUUUUCCCUCCAUGCUGAUGGGUUGAUAUUAUUGUUUGUAGUGGAGACUGGUGGAGAUUGGUGAGUCCCAGUGCCAGCCAUGCACAUUAGACUCUCCACAUAACUUUGUAAAGCCGCAGAGGCAUAUAGUGACCAAGUGUGUAGAUGUGACUGAACUGGGAUGGUUUUCUGGGAGCCGCUGGCUUAGUGUAUCUGAGAUUCCAUUACAUGAUCUGAGGAGGACUCUCCUGAAUAUCGACCCUUUCAUACCUUAAAACUCCUGCCCUUAAUAAUGAGGCUGAAUGGAGGUAGGAAUAUGACAGCCAGACAAGGAUAUUAUCUAUUACUGAUAAAAUAUACUUUUCAGAAUCUAUCAAGGGGGCUGGAGAGAUGGUUCAACUAUUGAGGGUGCUUCUUGGUCUUCUGAAGAACUGGAGUUCAAUUCCAAGCAUCCACUUUGGGUGGUUCAUAACCUCCUGUAACUCUAGC